CUCCCUUAGAACUCGCUCCAGUUUGGCAGCGCUCGCUCUUCUUGAGUCACUGCAACGCGGGCAGGGAUUUUCCUCUACGUUGGAUGUAGACGAGACUUAAGUGUAUCUGCAAUAUCCCAGUGAAUCAUCAAAAUAAGCCUGUCACAGAGAAACGGCGAUACCAGAUGUAAUACCUCUUGAGAUAUAACUCUGCUGGUGUGAGUCUUCACCUAGAAGCCUCUAGAAAUGGAGCGGCUCAACCCCGGAUGACACUAAUAACCAGCCAAACACCCUGCAAAUUGGAGCAGGGUGAGGAAGGUGACCGCAGACACUUCUGAAGAGAAAAGCGUUACCCUGCCUUGUUCCCGGGUGCCCGCAUCUGUCCAGCAGCACGGUGGUGAAGCAACUUUGUACUUUGUCUCAGCCCUAGUUCUCCUGGUUUGGUACAACUGGACAUAUUUGGAAGACCUCCAUUCUUCUUCCUUUGUCCUACCCAGCUACCUGAUAUCGUCUGGAAAUAAAGCUAAGAGGCAGGAUUGGUCUCAAGACUAGCGCUGGUGUUUCAGUUCCUGGAAAAAAAAAAAAGUUUGCAUGGUAGAGAACAGUGGCUACAGAUGACUACUUGUCCAAAACAUAUAGACGGAAAUGUUACAGAAGAGCAACCAUCUGGAAAACUGUUGAAGAAAAAAAGAAAGAAUGGUAGAAUAAGCAUUUAAUCAACGUGCAGCUUUUAAAACAGAAACCUUAAAGAGUCUACACUUCUUAGAUUCAAGACUAUGUCAGCACAUUACAGAGACGUAUCAGCUUCGGUCUGUUACACUGAUGUCUGCUGUGUCCACUUUUAACCGCAUUUAAU